UACGUAGGGCGCAAGCGUUGUCCGGAAUUAUUGGGCGUAAAGAGCUCGUAGGCGGUUUGUCGCGUCUGCUGUGAAAACCUAAGGCUCAACCUUGGGCUUGCAGUGGGUACGGGCAGACUAGAGUGCGGUAGGGGAGUGUGGAAUUCCCGGUGUAGCGGUGAAAUGCGCAGAUAUCGGGAGGAACACCAGUGGCGAAGGCGGCACUCUGGGCCGGUACUGACGCUGAGGAGCGAAAGCGUGGGGAGCGAACAGG
rnacentral:rRNA from 1 species